GACGAACGCUGGCGGCGUGCUUAACACAUGCAAGUCGAACGGAAAGGCCCUGCUUUUGUGGGGUGCUCGAGUGGCGAACGGGUGAGUAACACGUGAGUAACCUGCCCUUGACUUUGGGAUAACUUCAGGAAACUGGGGCUAAUACCCGAUAGGAGCUCCUGCUGCAUGGUGGGGGUUGGAAAGUUUCGGCGGUUGGGGAUGGACUCGCGGCUUAUCAGCUUGUUGGUGGGGUAGUGGCUUACCAAGGCUUUGACGGGUAGCCGGCCUGAGAGGGUGACCGGCCACAUUGGGACUGAGAUACGGCGCAGACUCGUACGGGAGGCAGCAGUCGGGAGUAUUGCACAAUGGGCGGAAGCCUGAUGCAGCGACGCUGCGUGCGUGAUGACGGCCUUCGGGUUGUAAACCGCUUUCUCCGGUGACGAAGCGUGAGUGACGGUAAUGGGUAAAGAAGCACCGGCUAACUACGUG
rnacentral:rRNA from 1 species